GUCGGGAGUUAGGAAAUGUGCGUCGACGAAUACUCGGCGUGCUUGACAAAGGCUCCUAAAGAAGCCACGGCUAAAUCCGUGCCAGCAGCCGCGGUAAGACGGAUGUGGCGAGCGUUAUUCGGAAUUACUGGGCUUAAAGGGCACGUAGGCGGCCCCGUAAGCGGAUUGUGAAAUCCCCCGGCUCAACCGGGGAAUUGCUGUCUGUACUGCGGAGCUUGAGGAUGGGAGGGGAGAGUGGAACUUCUGGU
rnacentral:rRNA from 1 species